rnacentral:rRNA from 1 species
GACAGAGGGUGCAAACGUUGUUCGGAAUUACUGGGCGUAAAGCGUGUGUAGGCGGUCUCAUAUGUCGGGUGUGAAAGCCCCGGGCUCAACCCGGGAAGUGCACUCGAAACUGCGAGGCUAGAGUACUGGAGAGGUUGGUGGAAUUCUCGGUGUAGAGGUGAAAUUCGUAGAUAUCGAGAGGAACACCGGUGGCGAAGGCGGCCAACUGGACAGAUACUGACGCUGAGACACGAAAGCGUGGGGAGCAAACAGG